CUGGGCCUUAGUUUGCCUACCCAUGGUGUGUAAGUUAUGCAGGGCUCCUUUAAGACUACACCCCCGUAACAUUUUCUUAAUUGUUGUAGGGAAUCGUGUGUUUCAGAAAGCCCAUGCAGUGAAGUACAGUUUGCCUCUCUGCUCACUCCUGUCAAUUCCUUCCCACCCCGCAAACUGGACUGAAGAGCAACACAGAACUGCUGAAAUCUCCCAGGAACACAGUUCUGGGUUCUCCUGCAUCACCCCUGACCACCUCCACCAGCUUGGUCAGGGAGAUCCAUCAAUGCCAUCUAAAUUAAUUAUCAUACUUACUUCCA